UCUCUAACAACACGAAAUGUUUUAGUCAGGCUACUCAUUUUGUUAAACAUUUCUAUAAGACCACAAACAACAUUAGAUUCGACUUCUGUAUUGGUAUGAGAAGGAUCGAUAGCCUUUGUACGAUUAGAAACUUCGUUUUGUGAACCCAUUUGAUGAUAUAUUUGUCCAUAUAUUUGGAAAACAUAAGGAGCAUAUCCAUCAAUAUUCACACUAUGAUCAUGUAAUACCCUGGAAUUUUUAGAUGCUAGUUUCUAUUUUUUUAUUCGGUUGACUUCUUGAUUGACUUUUUUAUUCUUUUGGUUUCUGAAGAAACUUCCUUCACGGAAGUUGUAGAGCUUGGCAAUACGAGUUCGUAGACACGUGGCAUGCGUAAAACGGACUUUGUAUGAGAAAGUUAUGAUCAAGAGAAGUGUUGUGGCUUUUGGGAAUUUUUAGUAUAACUAAAAAUUAGUUCUAGGAUUCCUUCAUUCCCGCAUAUCUCCUUCUCUCCGCUUUCCUUCUCUCCCACCUCACCUUCAAAACCUGAGUUUUCCUUCUUACCCGACCCAAACCCGGUUGACCCGACCCGACUUUUCCGGCCACCUCCGACUGACCUGGACGCCGGCAUCGGUCAGGUUUUUUUCCUCUCCUUGGUGUGGUGCUCCCUGUGUAGGUGGGUGAGGACGACUCGACUCGGAAUUGAGAGAAUCGAGCGCCACAAAGAGGGUGGCGGACCCGACUUUGACCCGGCGAUUUUCCGGCCGUGUACGACGGCGACUGGAGUUGAGGCUGCUCGAUUCUUGAAGCUCUCUUCCCUCUAAGCACGUUUUGAGCUGCCAAACACCUCGUUUUGAGGUCUAGAAUCGGAUUGAAGUUUUCUUGGCAGCCGGUUUUUUUUUAACUUUUCCGGCCUCUUUCCGGCCGAAUUGGCUUUGGCCACAGGUAUGAAAAUUGUUCCUUUUAAUGUGCUCUAUAAAGUUGCUGUUGGGUGUUUGUGCAAAUUGUGAAGUUGUAGGGUGGCGCGUGGGGCCCACUCGCCGUCAUCUGUGACGGCGCGUGAAGGCGCGUCCGGGCAGUGUGAGGGGGUGUGGUUGCUGUGUUAGCUAGUCUUUGUAGUUGGUAGUGUGUUGUUAUGUGAUAAGGCUAAGUGUGAUUAGGUAGUGCUAUGUUUUCAUUGUUGAUUUUUAGGUUGUAAACUUUGAAGUUUGAACUUGGAGGCAGCAUGGAUAUGUUGUUGGGUGUCCGAUGACCUUGGGAGGUCUCGGAGAAAGGAUUGUCCUUCUUUGGGCAACCUUUAGGCUAAGGUUUGGUGAAGGGUGCAUUGUUCUUUUUGUUAAGUUGUUAUUAAAGUUAUUAUUUUUGUUAAUAGGUGACUUGUGGAGUGUGGUUUGGUGUUAUAUUCUUGUGUUGUGCUUGCGAAGACGCAGCUGGAUUUUAGGUGAGUAAAAUCUAACCAAUGUCCACUUGUGACCUUUUUAUUUUGGAUGAUGAUUGUGAUGUUGGUUUUGACAUUGAUUAUGAUGGUGAUUUUUAAUGAUGAGGAUGAUGAUGGUGAUAAUUAUUGUGUUGUUGAUAAUGACUAUUAUGAUGUUGAUAGUGAUGAUGAUAAGGUUUAUGUUGAUAAAAUGAUGAUGAUUAUUGUUGAUGUUUUUAAUUUAAAAUAUUUUAUUUCUUUUGUUUGUUUUAAAAUAAAUGAGCUUGAUCGCCAACGGCUCAUAGGUAAGAUAAAACAAGUUUUCCAAGUAUAUGAUUAUUUUUAAGGUUCAUAAAAUUAUAGUAUUUUUGGUUGUUGAUAAGUUAUUCUUGUGGGAAUAACCAUGUCUUGUGCAUAUAAAUAUAUCUAUGUGGAAGGAUAUAAUUUUUAUGAUGUGUUUUUAUGUUGUUGAUAAUGUUGAAUUAAAGAAUAUGCUAUUGUUUGUUUUUAAAAAUAAAUGAGCUUGAUCGCCAACGGCUCAUAGGUGAGAUAAAACAAGUAGAUAGUCAAACUGGGUUCCAAGCCCUUAAUCGGGUGAUUGGUUGCGGUUAUGAUGAUUCUACUCUUUUUGAGAAUUGUUAUGUAGAUAGUCAAACUGGGUUCCAAGCCUUUAGUCGGGUGAUUGGUUACGGUUAUGACACUGUUAUUAUUUUGUGAUGUGAUAUUGGACAGUCAAACUGAGUUCCAAGCCUUUGGCCGGGUGAUUGGUUACGGUUAGGAAUAGAGCUCUAGUCCGUCUGUCGGUGUAGGUCAUGGGAGAUACUUAUGGUAUCUGGGACCCAUGGGUGCAUAAAUUGUUGUUGUAGGUCAUGAGAGGUAUUUUUAAAUAUCUGGGACUCAUGGGUACAUGUUAUUUGUGAAAGUGUUGAAAAUGUGGUUUUAACUUUGUUCUUAAUUGUUGUCAUUUAACUUGUUUUGAGUAUCUCCUGAACUAUGCUUAAUGCAGGAGAUUCUUCAAUUCUUAUUGUGUGAAUUUUGAGUGGAAUUUCCUGAACUAUCUUUAUUUGCUGGAUUCUCUUAUGAUUGAUUGUUUUGUGAAUUGUUAUGUUUUCUCAAUUUCUCUCUUUGAAUUUUAUUGUUGAGGCAAUUCCUGAACUAAAUGCUAAGUAGGAAUUUCCGGUUUUAUUUUGUGUGAUGUUGGGUUGAAAUAUUUUUUUGAGAGUUAUUCAUACGGGCUUUUCAGCUUACCGGGUUUGUUGUUUACAACCCGGUGCACCUAUUUUUUUGGUGUAGGGGUUAGAGCUGCAGGUGAUAAUCAGCAGGGUUGAGGCGGUGGCUUAGGAGCUGGGUUUUAGACAAUGUGCUUUUAUUUUGUAUAUUUUGAUAAGUUGUCUUUAAGCUCAUGUGAGCGACUUUAUUAUUACUAGACUUUUGAAGUUGAUGUAAUUAAGGAGAUGUAAUGUUUAACUCGGUUGAUGAGUUUUUUUACAUUUACAUUUCAGUAUUUGUUUAUAGUUUGGAAGUUGUUGAGCAGGUUUUGGGAUAAUAAGAUUUUAAGUUAUUUCAUGCCCAAAUUUUUGAAAAUUUAUCCUUCGAAAAUUAGGGUGUGGCAGAUCAAUUUUUGCACCCAUUGAUGUAUAUGAAAACAUUGAGUUAUAAACUCUAAUAUUUUUUUUGGAACAAUGCACUUUCUCGACCAUUAAUUGGAUUCAACAAUUCUUCAAGGAAAGCAGGAGUUGGUUUUGACUGUUCAAGUUUCACAUGUCCAUUUUGACAACAUCCUGUAUAAAUAAUAAGAGCAUUUCUUCUAUCUUGUUUAUUUGUUUCACCCAACCAAAAAUUUACAUAACAAUAAAUACACUGAAAUUCAUUGUCACCAACAUCAUUAUACUCUAUAACAACACCUGUAACAACAAUAAAAACUGAAAUUAGAUCCAAUACACAAAUGUCUUCUUAUAAAAAAUAUAAUGACAUACAACGUGAACAAACCUUGUCUACUUCUUUGAUAAAGUGCUUGGCCACGUGAAGAGAAGGGCACAUUUCCACUAUCAGCUGUUAAAUAGACCGCAAAAAAACUCAUGUUAACUGUAAUUUUAAUAAAUACUGAAGUCAGAAAUCAGAUACCCUUCAAUACUGUUACUCAAAUAUUAUCAUUCAAUUAAAAAAUAAUAAUAAUAAAAACCACCAAAAUCUGAGUGUGACAUUACAACACUUGUCAUAUCAUCAUCAACACCAAAUGACCCCUUUGGAUCUUCAGAAAUCUCACUGACACCAAUAUCAUUAAACCCUGGCAAAUCCAUAGAUGUUCCUUCACCUUCAAUAGAUUCCAGUUUCGAAAACCUUCUUUUCCUUGUAGAGUUUUUUUUCCUAGAAGCUACAUCUAAAACAAAUAAAACAACUAAUCAAUCAUUCACUGCACAAAAUACUGUCGACAUAGUAAUCAUUCUGCUAUGAGUUUUGAUAGUAGUAUAUACUAAAUUGCUGAAGCUCUUAAGAACUCAAGUUGAUUUAUAUAAAAUUAUGUUUAUGAAGCAAUAUAUGAAUAAAUGUCAUCCAGUUAGCAACAAUAAAUACAAUUGAAGUAACUACACAGACCUCUUAUAUUUGCAAUCUUAGCUAAUACAUUCUCACAAACUAAUACCCUAUCAACUACUGGAUCAACAUGUUCAUUUCCAAAACUGUGUUCCUCAAAAAAUUUCAUCCUUGAAGAUUUUCGGUUUUCAAGCGCUAUACCUAUAAGAAAAAACAGAGUUUUAGAAGAAAACUUAAACGACUCAGUUUAAUAAAAAAGAAGAAGAUAUCUUAAAAAACUAUUACGAAUUAUUAUCAUAUUUAAAAAAAAAAAAAAAAAAAACCCAAUCAAAAUUCUGACAGUGAUAUUACAGUACCUAUUACAUCAUCAUGAACACCAAAUGACCUGUAAUACCCCAAAUUUUCAUAUCAAUUUCCUUAUAUUAUUUCCGAAAUUAAUGAAUGAUUAUUUGUGGAAAUUCUUAUUCGUUUGUGCGAAGUUGAAGUUUCGGGAGUCAAAUUUUUUAAGGUGUUUUGACUUUUAAGAGGUCAAAAGUUGACUUUCUUAUUCGUAAGUUAAUUUCGAAAACUUCCUUCAUGAAAAUUGUAGAGUUUAGCGAUACGAGUUCGUAGACACACAGCACACGUAAAUCGGAUGUCGUAUGAGAAAGUUACAGUCAGAGGAAGUUAGUUUCCGGUUUUAGAAAGUGUAUAAGUAGAAAAGGGGAACCUAGAAACCCUAAAAGUUUCCAGAAAAUUUCAGAGAGUCUCUCUCUUCCUCCUCGAGCCACUCGCGCACCCUCAACUUCUUCUGGCCAUAACUCGGCCAUACGGUGACGGAUUUGUGCGUGCUUGGUAUCGUUGGAAAGCUCUCACUCCCUUCUUUCUAUUCAUACCAGCCUCACACCCUAUGGAGCAUUGUGCAUGGCGCAGUAAGGCCCACAAGUUACUGCCUCUGCCAGCGGUGAAGCUCCGACCAAUUCUGACGAAAUCGAGGUUUAAGGCUACCUUUUUUUGGAAGUUCUUGUCCUUCUGAGCAUUAUGAUACCAGCCUUGAAGCCCAAUUCGAAGCGUGGAGCUUUUGAGUUCGAAGGGCACCUUGUUUCUUUCCGGCGACAUUUCCAGCCUCUUUCCGGUUGAAUUGGCUUUGGCCACAGGUAUGAAAAGUGUUCCAUUUGAUGUGACCUACAAGUUUGUUGUUGGGAGUUUACUCAGAUUUUGAAGUUGACUGGGUGGCACGUGGGGCCCACUCGCCGCCUCCUGUGGUGGCACGUGGUAGCCCAUCCGGGCAGUAUGAGUGGGUUUGGUUGCUGUGUUUGCUAGUUUGUGAGUGUUGUUGUGUGAUAAGGCUAAGUAUUGAUUAGGUAGUGCAUCUUAGGUGCUAUGUUAAUCAUUGAUGUUUGUUAAGUUGUAAACUUUGGAAGUUGAGCUUGGAGGUAGCAUGGAUAGGUUGUUGAGUGUCCGACGACCUUGAGAGGUCUUGGAGGAAGGAUUGUCCUUCUUUGGGCAACCUUUAGGCUAAGGUUUGGUUAAGGGUGCUUUAAUCUUUUGUUGAGUAGUUACUAAGGUUAUUAAUUGUGUAAUUUUAGGGACUUGUGAAGUGUUUUGGCUUGGCUCUUGUGUUUUGUGGAAGACGCAGCGGGAUUAAUUAGGUGAGUAAAUCUUACCAAGGUUCACAUUUGGACCAAAUUAUUAUGGUCAUUUUAGUGAUGAUGUUGAAUUAAAAAAUAUGUUAUUGUUUGUUUUUAAAUAUAUGAGCUUGAUCGCCAACAACUCAUAGGUAAGAUAAAACAAGUUUUCCUAUUAUAUGAUUAUUUUUAAUGUUCAUGUGAUCAUAAUAUUGUUGGUUCUUGAUAGAUUAUUCUUGUGGGAAUAUCUAUGUUUGUUCAUAUAAAUAUAUCUAUAUGGAAUGAUAUAAUUUUUAUGAUGUGCUCUUUGUGUUGUUGAUGAUGUUGAAUUAAAGAAUAUGCUAUUGUUUGUUUUUAAAUAUAUGAGUUUGAUCGCCAACGGCUCAUAGGUAAGAUAAAACAAGUUUUCUUAUUAUAUUAUUAUAUUGUGAUUUGUUGUUUAGAUAGUCAAACCGGGUUCCAAGUCUUUAAUCGGGUGAUUGGUUACGGUUAUGAUGAUUCUACUCUACUUUGAUUUGUUGUGUAGAUAGUCAAACCGGGUUCCAAGCCUUUAAUCGGGUGAUUGGUUAUGGUUAUGAUGAUUCUACUCUAUUGUGAUUUGUUGUGUAGAUAGUCAAACCGGGUUCUAAGCCUUUAAUCGGGUGAUUGGUUACGGUUAUGAUGAUCCUACUCUAUUGUGAAUUGUUAUGUAAAUAGUCAAAUUGGGUUCCAAGCUUUUAAUCAGGUGAUUGGUUACUGUUAUGAUGCUAUUAUUAUUUUGUAAUUUGAUAUUAGACAGUCAAACUGGGUUCCAAGCCUUUGGCCGAGUGAUUGGUUACGGUUAGGAAUAGAGCUCUAGUCCGUCUGUCGGUGUAGGUCAUGGGAGGUACCUUAAGGUAUCUGGGACCCAUUGGUACAUAAAUUGUUGUUGUAGGUCAUGGGAGGUACUUAUUAAUAUAUGGGACACAUGGGUACAUGUGUUUGUUGUAGGUCAUGGGAGAUACCUUAUUGGUAUCUGGGACUCAUGGAUACAUGUAUAUUUGUAAAAGUGUUGAUUAUGUGAUUUUAAUAUUUAUUCUUAUAUUGUUUCAUGUGUUUUUAUUGGUUGUUGGAAAUGUUGGUUGUUGGAUUUGUAGAAUUAAUUAUUUUUAUUAAUUGUUUUAUUUGGAUGUUGGAACUGUUGAGUUAAUUUUUGGGAGUUACUCAUACGGGCUUUUUCGCUUACCGGGUUUGUUGUUUUACAACCCGGUGCACCAAUUCUUAGUGUAGGGGUUAGAUCUGCAGGUGAUGAUCAACAGGGUUAAGGCAGAGGCAUAAUAGCUGGGUUUUAGACAAUGUACAUUUAUUUGUAUAUUUUUGGAGUUUGUUUUUAAGCUCAUGUGAGCGUCUUCAUUUUUACUAGACUUUUCAAGUUGUUGUAAUUAAGGAGAUGUAAUGUUUAACUCAAUUGUUGAGUUUUGCUGACAUUUACAUUUCCAGCAUUUGGGUUUAAUUUGAGAUUUGUUGAGCAGGUUUUGAGAGUGAUAUUUUGAGAUAUAUCAUGCCCAAAUUUUUGAAAAUUAUCCUUCAAAAAUUAAUUUUCAAAAAUUGGGGUGUGACAUGACCACUGUGAACCUCCAGAAAUCUCACUAACACCAAUAGCCGUAUCAUUAAAUCCUUGCAAAUCUAUAGAUGUUCCUUCACCUUCAACAGAUUCCAGUUCGAAAACCUUUUUUUUCUUGUAGAGUUUUUUUUUUCUAGUCAUAUUUAAAACAAAUAAAACAACAAACCGUUGAUUGACUACACAAAAUACUAUCAAUGUUUUGGUAGCUUAUUUAACAUACCGGUUCCUGAAUCACCAAAUUUUUAAUAAACAACAAUAGUUGUAUGUCUAAUUUAAACAAUGCUACUAACAUUCUGUAAACCAUCAUUAUAAUCAUAUUG
rnacentral:lncRNA from 1 species